rnacentral:rRNA from 1 species
GGGUUGUGAGGUUAAGCGACUAAGCGUACACGGUGGAUGCCCUGGCAGUCAGAGGCGAUGAAGGACGUGCUAAUCUGCGAUAAGCGUCGGUAAGGUGAUAUGAACCGUUAUAACCGGCGAUUUCCGAAUGGGGAAACCCAGUGUGUUUCGACACACUAUCAUUAACUGAAUCCAUAGGUUAAUGAGGCGAACCGGGGGAACUGAAACAUCUAAGUACCCCGAGGAAAAGAAAUCAACCGAGAUUCCCCCAGUAGCGGCGAGCGAACGGGGAGGAGCCCAGAGCCUGAAUCAGUGUGUGUGUUAGUGGAAGCGUCUGGAAAGGCGCGCGAUACAGGGUGACAGCCCCGUACACAAAAAUGCACAUACUGUGAGCUCGAUGAGUAGGGCGGGACACGUGGUAUCCUGUCUGAAUAUGGGGGGACCAUCCUCCAAGGCUAAAUACUCCUGACUGACCGAUAGUGAACCAGUACCGUGAGGGAAAGGCGAAAAGAACCCCGGCGAGGGGAGUGAAAAAGAACCUGAAACCGUGUACGUACAAGCAGUGGGAGCACGCUUAGGCGUGUGACUGCGUACCUUUUGUAUAAUGGGUCAGCGACUUAUAUUCUGUAGCAAGGUUAACCGAAUAGGGGAGCCGAAGGGAAACCGAGUCUUAACUGGGCGUUAAGUUGCAGGGUAUAGACCCGAAACCCGGUGAUCUAGCCAUGGGCAGGUUGAAGGUUGGGUAACACUAACUGGAGGACCGAACCGACUAAUGUUGAAAAAUUAGCGGAUGACUUGUGGCUGGGGGUGAAAGGCCAAUCAAACCGGGAGAUAGCUGGUUCUCCCCGAAAGCUAUUUAGGUAGCGCCUCGUGAAUUCAUCUCCGGGGGUAGAGCACUGUUUCGGCAAGGGGGUCAUCCCGACUUACCAACCCGAUGCAAACUGCGAAUACCGGAGAAUGUUAUCACGGGAGACACACGGCGGGUGCUAACGUCCGUCGUGAAGAGGGAAACAACCCAGACCGCCAGCUAAGGUCCCAAAGUCAUGGUUAAGUGGGAAACGAUGUGGGAAGGCCCAGACAGCCAGGAUGUUGGCUUAGAAGCAGCCAUCAUUUAAAGAAAGCGUAAUAGCUCACUGGUCGAGUCGGCCUGCGCGGAAGAUGUAACGGGGCUAAACCAUGCACCGAAGCUGCGGCAGCGACGCUUAUGCGUUGUUGGGUAGGGGAGCGUUCUGUAAGCCUGUGAAGGUGUACUGUGAGGUAUGCUGGAGGUAUCAGAAGUGCGAAUGCUGACAUAAGUAACGAUAAAGCGGGUGAAAAGCCCGCUCGCCGGAAGACCAAGGGUUCCUGUCCAACGUUAAUCGGGGCAGGGUGAGUCGACCCCUAAGGCGAGGCCGAAAGGCGUAGUCGAUGGGAAACAGGUUAAUAUUCCUGUACUUGGUGUUACUGCGAAGGGGGGACGGAGAAGGCUAUGUUGGCCGGGCGACGGUUGUCCCGGUUUAAGCGUGUAGGCUGGUUUUCCAGGCAAAUCCGGAAAAUCAAGGCUGAGGCGUGAUGACGAGGCACUACGGUGCUGAAGCAACAAAUGCCCUGCUUCCAGGAAAAGCCUCUAAGCAUCAGGUAACAUCAAAUCGUACCCCAAACCGACACAGGUGGUCAGGUAGAGAAUACCAAGGCGCUUGAGAGAACUCGGGUGAAGGAACUAGGCAAAAUGGUGCCGUAACUUCGGGAGAAGGCACGCUGAUAUGUAGGUGAAGUCCCUCGCGGAUGGAGCUGAAAUCAGUCGAAGAUACCAGCUGGCUGCAACUGUUUAUUAAAAACACAGCACUGUGCAAACACGAAAGUGGACGUAUACGGUGUGACGCCUGCCCGGUGCCGGAAGGUUAAUUGAUGGGGUUAGCGCAAGCGAAGCUCUUGAUCGAAGCCCCGGUAAACGGCGGCCGUAACUAUAACGGUCCUAAGGUAGCGAAAUUCCUUGUCGGGUAAGUUCCGACCUGCACGAAUGGCGUAAUGAUGGCCAGGCUGUCUCCACCCGAGACUCAGUGAAAUUGAACUCGCUGUGAAGAUGCAGUGUACCCGCGGCAAGACGGAAAGACCCCGUGAACCUUUACUAUAGCUUGACACUGAACAUUGAGCCUUGAUGUGUAGGAUAGGUGGGAGGCUUUGAAGUGUGGACGCCAGUCUGCAUGGAGCCGACCUUGAAAUACCACCCUUUAAUGUUUGAUGUUCUAACGUUGACCCGUAAUCCGGGUUGCGGACAGUGUCUGGUGGGUAGUUUGACUGGGGCGGUCUCCUCCUAAAGAGUAACGGAGGAGCACGAAGGUUGGCUAAUCCUGGUCGGACAUCAGGAGGUUAGUGCAAUGGCAUAAGCCAGCUUGACUGCGAGCGUGACGGCGCGAGCAGGUGCGAAAGCAGGUCAUAGUGAUCCGGUGGUUCUGAAUGGAAGGGCCAUCGCUCAACGGAUAAAAGGUACUCCGGGGAUAACAGGCUGAUACCGCCCAAGAGUUCAUAUCGACGGCGGUGUUUGGCACCUCGAUGUCGGCUCAUCACAUCCUGGGGCUGAAGUAGGUCCCAAGGGUAUGGCUGUUCGCCAUUUAAAGUGGUACGCGAGCUGGGUUUAGAACGUCGUGAGACAGUUCGGUCCCUAUCUGCCGUGGGCGCUGGAGAACUGAGGGGGGCUGCUCCUAGUACGAGAGGACCGGAGUGGACGCAUCACUGGUGUUCGGGUUGUCAUGCCAAUGGCACUGCCCGGUAGCUAAAUGCGGAAGAGAUAAGUGCUGAAAGCAUCUAAGCACGAAACUUGCCCCGAGAUGAGUUCUCCCUGACUCCUUGAGAGUCCUGAAGGAACGUUGAAGACGACGACGUUGAUAGGCCGGGUGUGUAAGCGCAGCGAUGCGUUGAGCUAACCGGUACUAAUGAACCGUGAGGCUUAACCUUACAACGCCGAAGGUGUUU